rnacentral:rRNA from 1 species
UACGAAGGGGGCUAGCGUUGCUCGGAAUUACUGGGCGUAAAGGGCGCGUAGGCGGAUAGUUUAGUCAGAGGUAAAAGCCCAGGGCUCAACCUUGGAACUGCCUUUGAUACUGGCUAUCUUGAGUACGGGAGAGGUGUGUGGAACUCCGAGUGUAGAGGUGAAAUUCGUAGAUAUUCGGAAGAACACCAGUGGCGAAGGCGACACACUGGCCCGUUACUGGACGCU